UAUUUCCUCAAUUUGUUCCAGUUUGCUAUUUUGUUCCUCAGUUAUUUAUUCCCUCUGUUGUGAUUUCAUUUUAACAAUUGUUUGAUAUUCUUAAUCUUUUUACAAUGUGCUAUUGUUUCCUGUUUUUAAUAUUGUUAUCUCUCUAAGUGUAUUUAAUUAGCUGAGACACACUUGGUCCAUGUGUUCUAAUGUCUUUGUUUAUGAUGGAGUCUGUAACGCAGUAUGUUACUUUUCUUUUGAACUAGUACACUCCAAAAAAUUGCCUAUUUUUAACCAUUUUGUACAUUUUCUUGGUAUUACUGCCUAUUCUCUUCAUUGCCUUCAUUUGUUAACAUGAGAUCCAGCUCCUGCAUCCCCAGUGAGUUCAGGGUUGACUGAUGUAGUCUGGAAUGGGGAAGUUGAGUUAAGAAGGACUAUCUGGGGAGAUGAAACUAGUCCUUAAAUCUGUCGAUGAUCAGAAACUUAGCCAUGAAACUCAGCAUCAUUUCUGUUGCUGAAACACACACUCUCUCUCUCUCACUCUGUCUUGCUCUCUCCCUCCCAUCCACCCCCAAUGGAUAAUUCUUGGCUCUUUGCUCAUGGAUCACCACUUGUGGGGCUCGGGAGACCCUAUGUUGUGCUGGAAGAUUAAACCCAGGUAAACCUUGACACCUCAGAAUGCCUCAAACACCACCAGGAGUGGCCCCUGCAUACAUCAUCAAGCUCAGUGCUCUCCCUUCCCAAGCCCUGCAGUACAGACCCCUGGGCCAGUGUAUGCCUCGCACAUGCCUAUUUUCAAUCAGUUCCUUAUAGAUUCUUGAACUCCUGGAAGCGGAUGCCUUGUGGGGCCUGAUAUGGUUUAAACCGCAUGAGGAGGGAAGCCAGCUCAGCCUGGGGCCCAAGCACAGCUGCCAGGGAUUCAAUCUCAGCCCUUGUAGCAAUGAGGAACAUUAAAGGAGGUGAUGAUACUCCAGGCUUGCUUCAUGGGUACUAAAGUGCCGGUCCCAGCAUGUUCAGAGGGUGCUGGGAUAAACAGGCAUAUCAAGCUUGACUAAGCAAGGUUUUACCUCUGAACUUUACCUCUAGGUUUUAGGAAAGUAAGGUUUAAAUUCCUCCAGACUUUUGUGUUUAAGGUUUACUUCAAAGGAUUGCCCUUUUGCAGUUGACCUUACCAGGCUGUCUACGUUUCUUUCAUUUCACAUAGCAUAAAGCUACAUGCAGACUCCAAAAUUCAGUCAGAGCAAAAGAUUGGUAACUUGGGGCUGGAGCAAUAGCACAGCGGGUAGGGCGUUUGCCUUGCACGCGGCCGACCUGGGUUCAAGUCCCAGCAUCCCAUAUGGUCCCCUGAGCACUGCCAGGAGUAAUUCCUGAAUGCAUGAGCCAGGAGUAACCCCUGUGCAUCGCCGGGUGUGACCCCAAAAAACAAACAAACAAAAAAGAUUGGUAACUUGAUUUUAUCAAACUUUCAUUAAGUGGUUUUCCUCUCCAAAGAUCCCUGAAUUUUGACACCUUUUUAAGGUUAAAAGAGUAUUAAAAUUUGAUUCCCAGCAUCCCAUAAUGUCCCCUGAGCACCGCAGGGGUAAUUCCUGAGUGCAGAGCCAGGAGUAACCCCUGUGCAUUGCCAGGUAUGACCCCGCCCCCCCCCCAAAAAAAAGCACAAGCUCCUUUGUGGUCCUUCUCUAGUACCAGCUGAUUUCAAGGCCGCUCCUGCUCCUCUGUAAGGCAAGUCACCCCACCACACACUCCACUUCCUCUUCCUUCCUGUUCCUUUUACUGCUUUUAAAAUUCUGUUGGGACAGGGAGAAUAGUUCAGUGGUUGUAUGAGAAUGCUUCCCCUAUUGUAGGCCUGGCAGAACCUGGCCUUCACUGGGAGUGCUGGUGUUCUCUGGAACCUCAGGGCCUGAGUAAUUUCGCAUCCUUGGGCUUAGCAUUGAGCAGCCUGGCCAAACCAGCCUUUUAUCACUGGAGUGACCUGUAGGCCUCCUCAGCACUGUUUGUAAAACUUUUAAGAAAUUUUUUAAAUAGGGUUGGAGAGUACAAGGGGUAAGGCUCUUGACUGGCAUGCUGCUGACCCUGGUUCAGAUUCUCAGCACUGCCAGGGGAAACUCUGAACUCAGCCAGGAGUAGUCUCCAAGCAUAAGCAGGUAUGGCCCUCAAAUACCUACCAAAAAAUGCUUUUUUGGGGUGGGGGUCACACCCAAAGCUUACUCCUGGCUGUGCUCAAGGAUCUCUUGGCACUAGUCAGGGGACUAUAUGUGGUGCCGGGGAUUAAACUCGGGUCAUCUGUGUGCAAAGGAAAUGCCUUAGCCUCUGCACUAUCUAUCUGGGUCUCCCAAAAUGCUUUUUUUUUGUAAAGCAAAAUGAAACUUAUUUAGAUGUGGGCGGAGAAAAAACACAGAGAAGUGUGUAUUCAAGAGGCUUCUCCAGAGUGGAAAUAAGCAAGCAAAAAAAUAGAUAAGCAAAGAAAUUCAAGCAAGGGAAAUACAUGUUGAAGGGAGAAUAAGGGCUUGAAGAGUAAGUCCCAGAAUGCUUUUAAAAUAAAAUUAAGUUCAUUUCUUAAGGGCUUGAGAGAGAGCACAAAGGGCUGGAGUGCAUGUUCUAUGUAUAAGAGGCUGGAGUUCAAGCCUCAAAACUACAAAGUAUCCUAAGCAUGGCUGGAAGCAACCCUUAAGCAAUGAUUUAUGAGUAACCCCUAAGAACUGCUGGCUGUCGCCCAGUAAAAGCCAGAAAAAGAAAAUGCCCUUCUGCUGAUCUUUGAGAUGUUUGAGAUUCUACUCUUUCCUGACCAUAGCAGUUUGUGUGAAUAAAGUCUUUCUCUAAGGUUGACUUGGAUUGUUCUGUAAAUGUUGGCUUCCAACUUGUUUGAUAUAUAUUGACCCUAAGUGUUUUAGGCUUCAUCAAUGAAUUGCCCCUUUUCCUUCCAGAGAAGUUUACAGUGCUCUUAUAAGCACCCCUAGUCCUCUGAGUUUAUCUUUAACCUUUCCUUUGUGUUUUACAUCUCAUUGUCAUAAUUCCCCCUCAGUCAGUCUUGGUUACUUACAAGCCAAAACUUUCUGGUAAUUCUGGAUUUUGUAUUUAAAGUGAAUAACUUGCUUUUCUAUUUCCCCUAUAGCUUUUUCAUAUUUUAUUAUAGAGCAAUGUUCUUUGCUUAAACACAGAAAGACUGUGAAUGCCAUGUUCCUGAUAUUUGAGAGUUGAUUGAUUCUGAAAUAUAUCUAUUUCUGGGCAUCUGUCAUAAUUACUUGACUCAGGCUUCAUUGCUGUAGUUCCUAACACCCCAAAAGGGAGGUCCCAUCGUAGGACUGGGAUGGACCCUGGGAAAGCAGUGAAGCUACCCUGGCAUCGAAAUGGGACAGUCUAGGAAGCAUAAAUGUGUGAUCUUGAUGGAACCCAUUUUGACUUAUGAGACAGGACCCUCCAUGGGGAAGGACAAGCUAGACCAGCCUGAGGACUUAGUCUGGGAUUUACGGUAAAAACCUUGCUUGCCCUCAGAGCUCAGAGAACUAAGUUUUGAAAUCUUUACCUCUUACCGUGUUUAUCCAAAUAACUGCAAGUUUAAAAAGAAGUAAUCUUAAUUAUUUAAUAUGUACAACUAAAGGGAAAGGGGAAAGCAAUAUAGAUGUGUCUGGGAGACAGAGCAGUCUCCUUGGGUUAAUCCCCCCAAGAGAAUUUCCUCCACCAAAACGGUUUACCUCUGUAAAGGAUCAAUCACACCUAUGUGCAGUCCUAUACCUCAAACCCCUUCAGAUGUUCUUUAUGCUAACAACUUUGCAGUAAAUGGGCUGCUGUUACCAUCUGUGAAUCCCCCAUCUCUUUGUUCUUCUGCUGGAGAAGCCUGGGGAGGCGGCUCUCAGCCACUGAAUGCACGUGUCCCGCACCCAUAAUUUGAACUCACACCAGCUAGGGUUCUGGUCAGAAGGCACAGCUGUGGGGCUGGAUAGUACAGCGGGUAGGGCAUUUGCUUUGCAUGUGGCCAACCUGAGUUCGAUUCUUGGCAUCCUACAUGGUCUCCCAGCGCUUCCAGGAGUGAUUCCUGCCAGGAGUAACCCCUGAGCAUUGCCAGGUGUGACUCCCCCCCAAAAAAAAAACUUAAAAAAAGAAAAGCUGUAAGGCCUGGCUCUACUCCCAAGGUCUGGUGGCUGCCUAAUAAUCACAGGGAAGCUGUUUUGGGGACUUUUUGGCCACAUCUUGGAAUUACUCCUGGCUCUGCACCAAGGAGUUACUCCUGACAGUGCUCAGGGGACCAUAUGGGACACUGGGACUGAGCACAGGUCAGCUAUAUGCAAGGCAUGUACCUCUGUAUUAUCUCUCCCACCCCUCGGAAGGCUGUCUUUGUGCUAAGAUGUUCUGGGAACACAGACCUUGCUAUUGCUUUAUUUUAUUUUAUUUCCCCGCCAAGCCCUUGGUCUCCCUGGCUAGCACUUUAACCAGGAAAAAAAAAUGGGACUGAAAAUAUGGACCAAACAAAGGUCUGAGCACAGACUUUGCAUAUAGGAGGUCUGGUUCGAUCUCUGGCACUGCAAGUUCCCCAUGAAGUGACUUUUAAGCAGGGAAUAACCUCCAGUGCUCCCAGGUGUGACUCAAAAUUCAAAAUGGUCCCUAUAUAAGAAAUGAACCGAUGAUGUAGAUAACUGCAACUACAUGGCGUGAAGAUGACCAAGACAUUGCUCGACUACACAGACCAGUGCAUCAUGUACAGAGGAGACGUGAAAGGGGAGGGAAGUGAUGGAACCUACAGACUCAGAGCUUUGUAAACCUCGAAAGCCUCAAAGCCACACAGUCAGAAAUCCCAAAAGAAAUGAAUGGCAUCAAAACAAUUGGAGUCCAUGAUGAACAUGUGUGUCACCAGCAGGAGAGAAGGGGUGGCGAGCCUCUCAAGAAGGAACGUACUCGGGGAAAGUGAAAAAAGGGGGAUAAUUAUUUCACUGCUAAGAGUUUUCUUUUCAAGGCUUCAAGCACUCACAGUUACCUGCAAGUGUCUCCAAACCUUCAUUGAAAAAAGAACAUCACUUGUCUCAAAUUCAACUGACUUCCCCAUUGCACAGAGUUUCAAAUGACAUACCUGAUCCUGCAAAGAACCAUGAUGUUACAGCACAGGAAAUGCCCCCAAACACUGGCACCUGGAAUUCAGUCGGCUGGUACAAUCUGAGGAAAGACAAAAACUCAUAUUGCUCUAUAAGAAUGUUCGGAUACCACCGUUAGGGGAGGAAGAGGACUCUGAGGAUGAGAGCCAGGGGGAAUCCAAUUACCUACUUCC